CCUACGGGCGGCAGCAGUGGGGAAUAUUGGACAAUGGGGGCAACCCUGAUCCAGCCAUGCCGCGUGUGUGAAGAAGGCCCUCGGGUUGUAAAGCACUUUCAGUGAGGAAGAACGCCUGGUGGUUAAUACCCAUCAGGAAAGACAUCACUCACAGAAGAAGCACCGGCUAACUCCGUGCCAGCAGCCGCGGUAAUACGGAGGGUGCGAGCGUUAAUCGGAAUUACUGGGCGUAAAGCGCGCGUAGGUGGCUUGAUAAGCCGGUUGUGAAAGCCCCGGGCUCAACCUGGGAACGGCAUCCGGAACUGUCAAGCUAGAGUGCAGGAGAGGAAGGUGGAAUUCCCGGUGUAGCGGUGAAAUGCGUAGAGAUCGGGAGGAAUACCAGUGGCGAAGGCGGCCUUCUGGACUGACACUGACACUGAGGUGCGAAAGCGUGGGUAGCAAACAGGAUUAGAUACCCGAGUAGUC
rnacentral:rRNA from 1 species